CACGAGACAAGUUCUCUAACUCUACUUUUAUAAUUGUGCAAGUUCUCUAACUCAACUUUUAUAAUUGUGCAAGUUUCUAAACCUAUCUUUUUUACAUUAAACAAGUUCUCUAACUCCAUACUCUCGUUGAGUUAGUUUGUUGUGUUUAAGCAAGUUUUCUAAUUCUAAAGCUUCGUUAUGCAAAUUUCAUAUGCUAUACUUUAUUG
rnacentral:lncRNA from 1 species